GGGCGAUUAGCUCAGCUGGCUAGAGUACUUGCUUGACAUGCAAGGGGUCACUGGUUCAAGUCCAGUAUCGCCCA
rnacentral:tRNA from 1 species